UUUAUUUUUAACUAUCUGUCGCUCGUGGACUACAUGUUUCACAACUGUUCUUGUAUGUCAAUAUUCACUUUGAUUGAUGCAAUUCUCUAGGUAGGAGAGCUCAAGAGAAUGAUUUAUUGACAAUAUAGUGGAUCUGUCAAAAAAAUUAAGAUAAUUUUUUUUAUAGGAAACACGAGAGUAACUUUGUAUUCAUCAUUAGAAAAGUAGGUAACAUGUUAUCUUAUUCUUUAAUGUUUAGUAUUCCUAACUACCAAAUAGUAGCGAGAGCUAUACAAAUAGGUUAUUUAUCAUUACAACGUAAGUGAAAUCUAAUAAAAUUAAAAGUA
rnacentral:lncRNA from 1 species